rnacentral:lncRNA from 1 species
GCUCAACCAGAACGGACUCUAGUGGCGCACAUUCAACAGAUUCGGGCCACCAGUUGUGGUGGCUGAGAUGCUAUGUAAACAGGAACAUUAAAUAGCUUCUGGACUUUUCCCAUCGAGCAGAGGAGAUGCCUUGAGAAGCCAGCGGACCGCUCUGCAGCUGUGGUGCGAGCUGACGUCUUUCACUUCGUUUCCACGUUCCUCUUGCCAAACGUGGCACGAAAAGUUGCCGAGGCGAAGGAGAAGACCCGCGCGGGCCCACCGACCACUGCCAUCUUGCAAACACGCACACGGACCGCCCGGCUGCCCGUCGACGGCCCAGCGAAGCCGAGACAAAUCACUUCUGCCUCCGCUGUGGAUAACGGCGUUUUGACAAUCGCAGGCUCCCGGUACUUAAGAUUUUCAGGUAGAACUCUCCGGGCUGCCGUGAGAUAAUUUCCCCGACUCCAAUCCGCCGUCUCUCACAAAGGGUAAGGAGGAGGCUCGGGGAGAGCCAGGGACCGGCUCAAGGUCCAGUGACAAUGGCUGAAACAUGUCACAUGGGUCCCGAGCUAUUUACUCACCGAGCGUUCCUUGAUGCUGUGCCUGGAACAUCACCUGGUGAGUAUUAUCUGCAAAACAGAUAUCUUUUCAUAAUUUGGCUUUUGUUGAAAGUGCUGCUGUAAACAUUGGGGCACAAGUGCCCCUCUGCGUCAGCACUCCUGUGUCCCUUGGGUCAAUCCCUAGCAGUGUUACUGCUGGGUCAUAGGGUAGAUCUGUUUUUAAUUUUUGAGGAACCUCCACACUGUCUUCCAGAGCGGCUGCACCAGUUGGCAUUCCCACCAACAGUGCAAGAGGGUUCCCGUUUCUCCACAUCCUCUCUGGCAUCUCUAGUCUCCCGAUUUGUUCAUUUUAGCCACUCUGACUGGCAUGAGGUGAUAUGAAAAGAGCCUGAAUGUCCAUCAACUGAUGAAUGAUAAAGAAACUGUGGUUUAUACACUCAAUGGAAUGCUACGUGGCAAUGACAAAGAAAGAAAUCUGGCCUUUUGUAGCAACGUGGACGGAACUGGAGGAUAUUAUGCUAAGUGAAAUAAGUCAGUCGGAGAAAGACAGAUACCAUAUGUUUUCAGUCUUAUGUGGAUCCUGAGAAACUUGACAGAAGACCAUGGGGGAGGGGAAGGGAAAAAAAAAAGAGAGGGAGGGAGCCAAACCAUAAGAGACUCUUAAAGACUGAGAAUCAACUGAGGGUUGAUCCAGGGGUGGGAGGGAGGGAAGGGUGGGUGAUGGGCACUGAGGAGGG